GAUGAACGCUGGCGGCGUGCCUAAUACAUGCCAGUCGAGCGAACAGAUGAGGAGCUUGCUCCUCUGACGUUAGCGGCGGACGGGUGAGUAACACGUGGAUAACCUACCUAUAAGACUGGGAUAACUACGGGAAACCGGAGCUAAUACCGGAUAAUAUAUUGAACCGCAUGGUUCAAUAGUGAAAGACGGUUUUGCUGUCACUUAUAGAUGGAUCCGCGCCGCAUUAGCUAGUUGGUAAGGUAACGGCUUACCAAGGCAACGAUGCGUAGCCGACCUGAGAGGGUGAUCGGCCACACUGGAACUGAGACACGGUCCAAACUCCUACGGGAGGCAGCAGUAGGGAAUCUUCCGGAAUGGGCGAGAGCCUGACGGAGCAACGGCGCGUGAGUGAUGAAGGUCUUCGGAUCGUAAAACUCUGUUAUUGGGGAAAAACAAAUGUGUAAGUAACUAAGCACGUCUUGACGGUACCUAAUCAGAAAGCCACGGCUAACUACGUG
rnacentral:rRNA from 1 species